rnacentral:rRNA from 1 species
AGUGAACGCUGGCGGCAGGCCUAAUACAUGCAAGUCGAACGGAAGCAUAGUAAGCGCUCGCCCUUACGGGUGGCGAGUGGCGGAUGGGUGAGGCAUAGAUAGGCAUCUACUAUUUCGUGGGGGAUUACGUAGGGCCACUUACGCUACUACCGAAUAUGUUCUACGGGUGAAAGCAGGGGUUCAUGGGACUUUUGGUGACACUUUGAGCCGAUGUCGGAUUAGCUAGUUGGGUAGGUAAAGGCCCACCAAGGCAACGAUACGUAGCUGAUCUGAGAGGAUGAUCGGCCACACUGGAACUGAGACACGGUCCAGACUCCUACGGGAGGCAGCAGUAGGGAAUAUUCGGCAAUGGGCGCAAGCCUGAUGCAGCCAUGCCGCGUGAGUGAAGAAGGCCUUCGGAUUGUAAAACCCUGUUAUUAGGGAAGAAAAACUGCGUAAGUAUACCCCGCUGUUCUGACGGUACCCAAUCAAAAAGCACCGGCUAACUACGUG